UUACGGCCACAUCACGUUGAAACACCAGUUUCCGUAGAGUCUCCAAAGUUAAGCAAUGUCAAACCUGGUCAGUAAUUAGAUGGGUGACCGCUUGGGAAUACCACGUGUU